rnacentral:lncRNA from 13 species
AUGGAUGGUUCAGAACCGGUCUCCGCGUCCCAGGAAGUCCCUAAAAUCCGCACCAGCCCCACCUUCCGCAGGGCGGGGGCGUCCACGAUCCCUACCCGCCAGAGGUGGUGGGGGAGAUGUGGGGGGCCGGUCCGCAGCCUUCGCGGAGUGGGGCGACGGGAGGGAGCGGCCGGGGGAGGAAAAGAGGGGGAGGAGAGGCGGGCGGGCCGGCGGCGGGAGCCGGGCCUCUUUUAUCUCGGCUUCUCGGGCGGAGCCUCAACUAGUCAGUCACGCAGGAGAAGUUUCUCUUUCGCUCUUCGCGCUACACAACCCGAUUGGCUUCCAGCGCGCAGGCGAGGGGGCGGAGGCGGGGGAGAGGAGUCCCAGAAGGGCUGUCCGGCGUUCACACCCACCCCCGCUCCCCUCCUCCCGCUCCAAACAAAGCCCUCCACUCUAGGUCCAGGAUACGUUACCUGCCCGGCGCUCCCGGCCCCUCGGUCACCGCAUCCCCCGCUGGGCGCGCCUGGGCAUGAGCCUGUUGGAGAACAGAGCCUACACAGAGGAAAUGGAUCUAAGAGUUGAAGGUGGAGAAACUGGGUGCUGAAGACCUUUGAGCUGUUUCUGGAGUUAGACUCUCAAAUCGUACAAGUAAAUUUGUUCUCUUUCAGGUAAAGUGAGUUUGGAUUGAAUUUUCUGUCAUUUGAAAUGGAAAGAACACUAAUUAAUACGCUCAUCUCCAAUACUUGUUCAAAGCCUUAGUGAGGCAUAAGUACAAAACGCAACCUGUUGACCAGUAUCAGUGCAUACACAUGUGAUACCAAUUUAUUAACUUACUGCUACUGGGCCAAGGAAAGGGAGUUGUAAUAUUACCACACGUGUGGCAUGUCAGAAUCAAAUCAGAGUGCCCACUUUUGUUUAAACUUCUAGGGAGGAUGGAACUCUUCUUCCCACAGACAUAUUAAACCCUCUUAUCACCACUACAGAAAAUUCAGCAGUCAAAGCAAGAGACAUGAAAACAUAGUAGCUUUUGUUCCCUGUAUACCUCCCACCUUGUUAUUGAUGCACCCCCACCUCCAGCUUUUACUCCUAGUCAGCUAAUAGUUGCCCAUGCUGCUUCAUCCACUAGCUCUUUUCUUAGGCUGGAAUGUACUUCCCAGUACUGUCUACCCUUCUAGGCCCAGCUCAAGUGUGCCAGCCUCUGUGAAAUGUCCCCUUUUUUUUGUUUUUUUGUUGUUGUUUUUUGAGACAGGUUCUGUCUCUGUCACCCAAACUGGAGUGCAGUGGUGCAAUCUAGGCUCACCAAAAUUUUCACCCUUCAGGCUGAACCCAUCCUCCCAGCUCAGCCUCCUGAGUAGCUGGGACUACAGGCACAUGCCACCAUACCCAGCUAAUUUUCUUAUUUUUUGUAGUGAUGAGGGUCUCACCAUGUUGCUCAGGCUGGUCUUGAGCUCCUGGGCUCAAGAGAUUCACCCACUUUGGCCUCAAAAAGUUCUGGGAUUACAGAUAUGAACCACCAUGUUCGACUUCGUUUUCUGUGAAAUUUUACAUUUUACCUAACAAUGACAUGAUCCUGCACUUCAUACCUCGCACACAUGUAUUCUAAAACGGGCCAUUUACUUGUGUCACACUCUGUACAUCUUCCUAUUUCCAAUUUUUUCUGUUUAUUUCUCUAGCUCUCCUACUACUAGACUGAGCUCCACGAGGGCAGGAAUUCUCUCCAAUUUAUCUUGGAAUUUUUAGGAGCCUGGCCAUUAAGCUAUCAAUAAUUAUGCCUAGUGGAAGUAAGUAAUCAAAUACACUAAAUGAAUGACUGUGGAAGCAGAGAUUCAUACAUUUUUAUAGCUGAGAACUUAGAGUUUACCUAAUUCUGUGAGGUAAAAUGUUUUGCAGGAAUAGCAAAAUUAUAGAUUCUAGGAGAAUAAAUUUUUUAAUUUCAUCA